AUACGGAGGGUGCAAGCGUUAAUCGGAAUUACUGGGCGUAAAGCGUUCGUAGGCGGUUGUUUAAGUUAGAUGUGAAAGCCCCGGGCUUAACCUGGUAACUGCAUUUAAAACUGGAUAACUAGAGUUUAGGAGAGGGAAGUGGAAUUUCAGGUGUAGCAGUGAAAUGCGUAGAGAUCUGAAGGAACACCAGUGGCGAAGGCGACUUCCUGGACUAGAACUGACGCUGAGGAACGAAAGCGUGGGUAGCAAACGGGAUUAGAAACCCUAGUAGUCC
rnacentral:rRNA from 1 species